rnacentral:rRNA from 1 species
GAUGAACGCUGGCGGCGUGCCUAAUACAUGCAAGUCGAGCGAACAGACGAGGAGCUUGCUCCUCUGACGUUAGCGGCGGACGGGUGAGUAACACGUGGAUAACCUACCUAUAAGACUGGGAUAACUUCGGGAAACCGGAGCUAAUACCGGAUAAUAUAUUGAACCGCAUGGUUCAAUAGUGAAAGACGGUUUUGCUGUCACUUAUAGAUGGAUCCGCGCCGCAUUAGCUAGUUGGUAAGGUAACGGCUUACCAAGGCGACGAUGCGUAGCCGACCUGAGAGGGUGAUCCGCCACACUGGAACUGAGACACGGUCCAGACUCCUACGGGAGGCAGCAGUAGGGAAUCUUACGCGAUGGGCGAAAGCCUGACGGAGCAACGCCGCGUGAAUGAUGAAGGUCUUCGGAUCGUAAAACUCUGUUAUUAGGGAAGUACAAAUGUGUAAGUAACUAUGCACGUAUUGACGGUACCUAAUCAGAAAGCCACGGCUAACUACGUG